rnacentral:rRNA from 1 species
GAACGGCAGCACGGACUUCGGUCUGGUGGCGAGUGGCGAACGGGUGAGUAAUAUAUCGGAACAUACCCUAGAGUGGGGGAUAACGUAGCGAAAGUUACGCUAAUACCGCAUACGAACUAAGGUUGAAAGUGGGGGAUCGCAAGACCUCAUGCUCAUGGAGUGGCCGAUAUCUGAUUAGCUAGUUGGUGAGGUAAAGGCUCACCAAGGCGACGAUCAGUAGCUGGUUUGAGAGAACGACCAGCCACACUGGAACUGAGACACGGUCCAGACUCCUACGGGAGGCAGCAGUGGGGAAUUUUGGACAAUGGGCGCAAGCCUGAUCCAGCAAUGCCGCGUGAGUGAAGAAGGCCUUCGGGUUGUAAAGCUCUUUUGUCAGGGAAGAAACGGUAGUCUCUAAUACAGAUUGCUAAUGACGGUACCUGAAGAAUAAGCACCGGCUAACUACGUGCCAGCAGCCGCGGUAAUACGUAGGGUGCAAGCGUUAAUCGGAAUUACUGGGCGUAAAGCGUGCGCAGGCGGUUAUAUAAGUCAGAUGUGAAAUCCCCGGGCUCAACCUGGGAACUGCAUUUGAGACUGUAUGGCUAGAGUGUGUCAGAGGGGGGUAGAAUCCCACGUGUAGCAGUGAAAUGCGUAGAUAUGUGGAGGAAUACCGAUGGCGAAGGCAGCCCCCUGGGAUAACACUGACGCUCAUGCACGAAAGCGUGGGGAGCAAACAGGAUUAGAUACCCUGGUAGUCCACGCCCUAAACGAUGUCUACUAGUUGUCGGGACUUAAUUGUCUUGGUAACGCAGCUAACGCGUGAAGUAGACCGCCUGGGGAGUACGGUCGCAAGAUUA